UUAAAUAAAAAUAUUUUAGUUAGAAAAUACUUAGAGCCAUUUGGAGGCUAUCAGAAAUAGUACGUUUUAUUCUUGAUUUUAAAUCAAUUUGUUAGAUUUUGUUACAGAUAUUUAGUUAUUAAUGUGUACUUGCUACGACAAUUGUGCUUACAUAUCUGAUAGCCCUCCAAUAUCAAUAAGUGAUACUUUGAACGGACUUUUAUCAAUAACUAAACUACCGUGAAGUGCAUUCUCUUUUACUUUUAAAUUAAAUAUGAUACAAGGUCCCCUAGCAGCCACUCAAAACAAGUAACAGUAAAAGAAGAAGAUGUAACGAAAGAGGGUAAGAAGUGGAAGUGGAAGAGUGGAAGUAGCAAAAGUACAAGAAGCACUAGACAGCAGGGGAGGGCGGCUCACUGUGGCAAAAUUAAACUUUUUGACUAACUCCUCGGACAUAGUUUUUGGUGCUUGUUGCUUUUGUUCAUUGGUGGAGUUCUAAAUGAAAUUGGUUUUUCAAUUUACAAGAGAAUUUCUUUGAAUGGGUCGGGACUGAAACAAAAGGAGGAACGUGGCAGAAACAAUAGAAAAGGUCGCUUUAUGCACGAAGAGUGGGGAAGAGGGAAAAAUGCAAAAACGAAAGCAACGUCAACACUUUGAACAUGUUCGGACUUGUCCAUUUUGUGAGCUGAGCUUUGACGAAGAAGUUUCGAGCAGGUAGCAAGGGGAACCUAGAGUCUGGAGUGCAGGUAGAACAGCGAAGAACAGAAAAGAACGAAGGCUUACGAUCCCGAAGAGUAUGCAGAAAUACGCACAUGCAUAUGUACAUACAUACAUACACAGAACGACCGAACGAAACCAACGAGUGAAAGAGAUGGGAGAACGGUCACUUUGACAUCAGCGGCACAUAAAGAACAGCAUAAAUAUAUGACGGAGAGCAGAGAGGAUGAAUAGCGAGAGAGAGCGGAUGAACAGCGAGAGA